rnacentral:rRNA from 1 species
GGCGAACGGGUGAGUAACACGUGGAUAAUCUGCCUCCGGGUUGGGGAUAACUGUCCGAAAGGAUAGCUAAUACCGAAUGAGAUGGUGGUUGCAUAAGCAGCAGCCAUUAAAGGUGGGGACCGCAAGGCCUACUGCCUGGAGAUGAGUCCGCGGCUGAUUAGCUUGUUGGUGGGGUAACGGCCUACCAAGGCGACGAUCAGUAGCCGGCCUGAGAGGGUGAACGGCCACAUUGGGACUGAGAUACGGCCCAGACUCCUACGGGAGGCAGCAGUUAAGAAUCUUGCACAAUGGGCGCAAGCCUGAUGCAGCGACGCCGCGUGAAUGAUGAAGGCUUUAGGGUUGUAAAGUUCAGUAAGCAGGGAAGAAUAAGCGUGGGGUAAUAUUCCAUGUGAUGACGGUACCUGCCUAAAGCCCCGGCUAACUACGUGCCAGCAGCCGCGGUAAUACGUAUGGGGCGAGCGUUGUUCGGAAUUAUUGGGCGUAAAGGGCGUCUAGGCGGGAAAUUAAGUUAGGUGUGAAAGCUAUGGGCUCAACCCAUAAACUGCAUCUAAAACUGAUUUUCUUGAGUUCGGGAGAGGAGAGCGGAAUUCCAGGUGUAGCGGUGAAAUGCGUAGAUAUCUGGAAGAACACCAGUGGCGAAGGCGGCUCUCUGGCCUAGAACUGACGCUGAAGCGCGAAAGCGUGGG